ACAAACGUGGCUUUGGUAAUCUUAAAUCCGAGUUCUGGCUUGGAUUGGACAAGAUACAUCGACUAACAUCUGCAAGGAAAAAUAAACUUCGAAUUGAUCUAGUAAACACGUCAGGCACUAAAAAAUACGCUGAAUAUGAAGAUUUUGUUGUAAAGGAUGAAAAUUCUAAGUAUCAAUUAAGUAUUGGAAAUUACACAGGAACUGCUGGGGAUGAAUUAUCCUAUCACAAUAACAUGAAGUUUACAACCAAAGAUUCAGAUAAUGAUAAACUUGGUGGUGGAAAUUGCGCUUUUUUCUAUAAAGUAACGUGAAAACCAGUGAAAUGAAAAUAAAACCAUGAAGAGUUUUCAUAAAUAUUUAUAAUUUCAUGACAAUGAUCAAUAUAUCUAUCAAAACGUCAUGUAAAAAUAUGUUUGAUAUGUUUGUUUAUGAGCAAAUAUGCAAAAAAUUGU